AACGAACGCUGGCGGCAGGCUUAACACAUGCAAGUCGAGCGCCCCGCAAGGGGAGCGGCCGACGGGUGAGUAACGCGUGGGAAUCUACCCAUCUCUACGGAACAACUCCGGGAAACUGGAGCUAAUACCGUAUACGUCCGUAAGGAGAAAGAUUUAUCGGAGAUGGAUGAGCCCGCGUUGGAUUAGCUAGUUGGUGGGGUAAAGGCCUACCAAGGCGACGAUCCAUAGCUGGUCUGAGAGGAUGAUCAGCCACACUGGGACUGAGACACGGCCCAGACUCCUACGGGAGGCAGCAGUGGGGAAUAUUGGACAAUGGGCGCAAGCCUGAUCCAGCCAUGCCGCGUGAGUGAUGAAGGCCCUAGGGUUGUAAAGCUCUUUCAACGGUGAAGAUAAUGACGGUAACCGUAGAAGAAGCCCCGGCUAACUUCGUGCCAGCCGCCGCCGUAAAAC
rnacentral:rRNA from 1 species